GGGGAUAUGGCUUAAUGGUAGAGUGCUUGCCUAGCAUGCAUGAAGCCCUGGGUUCGAUUCCUCAGUACCG
rnacentral:tRNA from 1 species